rnacentral:rRNA from 1 species
UACGAAGGGGGCUAGCGUUGUUCGGAAUCACUGGGCGUAAAGGGCUCGUAGGCGGCCAACUAAGUCGGACGUGAAAUCCCCAGGCUCAACCUGGGAACUGCGUCCGAUACUGGAUGGCUUGAAUUCGGGAGAGGGAUGCAGAAUUCCAGGUGUAGCGGUGAAAUGCGUAGAUAUCUGGAGGAAUACCGGUGGCGAAGGCGGCAUCCUGGACCGACAUUGACGCUGAGGAGCGAAAGCUAGGGGAGCAAACGGG